GUCGCCCUGGAGUCAACAAGUCCCUGCUUCUCCUAGGAGUACAGGAACGGCGUUUGUCCAUCGAGCACAGACUGGCAGCUGAUAAGGGUUGCAUUAACUCCACAGGGGUGACAUAACAAUUACUUUAAAUAGAUGACUUUAACGGAGAAUUAUCUGUUCCUCCCACAGCUCAAGAAGCCAGACGUCUAUGAUCAAGGUGUCGUUCUCGGGUACAUUGCCACAGCAACAGGAAAGAAACCAAGACACAGCUCGAAGCCAACCUCUGCCCCACCACUAAACAGUGCUUAGAGGCUCUCCCCUGAGGCAUUGUCCCCAGCCGUUGGAGUUGGGGCUACCAUAAUCAGCGCGACUUAUAUCUUUGCUCAGAUAAUUUCAUCUGGCAAGUUUUCAUUCUGAGUGGCAUGAAUUUAGGGGAAGGGGACUAAUUAUGAAGAUAUGGGCAGGUAAAGCUGGGGAGAUUGCAGAGCCAAAGAGCUGUAAACUCUCCCAGGCCUUCUGAACAUGGAGAAGGUUCCAUCAUAGGAACAGGAAGGAGAGCCACGCAAAGGAGUCCAUCUGGGGAGAGCUGUGGGCCACCACAUAGAGACAAGCCUGAAAGUGAGCCCAUCCAUCAUGCCCCACCCCCUCAGAUCUUUGGCCAAGGCCAUAGAAGCCAUCUUCCAAGGUGACAAAGACACCAACACAGGACAGGAAUAUCAGAGAUCUGGCAGCCAUAAUCCUGAGAGCAGUUAGAAGCCUGGAAUAGGCAAGCUGGUGGUGUCUCCUCCCAACUCCACCUUCUUUCUCCCU